UGGGGAAUAUUGCACAAUGGGCGAAAGCCUGAUGCAGCCAUGCCGCGUGUAUGAAGAAGGCCUUCGGGUUGUAAAGUACUUUCAGCGAGGAGGAAGGCAUAAAGGUUAAUAACCUUUGUGAUUGACGUUACUCGCAGAAGAAGCACCGGCUAACUCCGUGCCAGCAGCCGCGGUAAUACGGGGGGUGCAAGCGUUAAUCGGAAUUACUGGGCGUAAAGCGCACGCAGGCGGUUUGUCAAGUCGGAUGUGAAAUCCCCGGGCUCAACCUGGGAACUGCAUUCGAAACGGGCAAACUAGAGUCUUGUAGAGGGGGGUAGAAUUCCAGGUGUAGCGGUGAAAUGCGUAGAGAUCUGGAGGAAUACCGGUGGCGAAGGCGGCCCCCUGGACAAAGACUGACGCUCAGGUGCGAAAGCGUGGGGAGCAAACA
rnacentral:rRNA from 1 species